GGUAGUUCUUGGGUGAUGUACCCUGGAAUCCAGCUCCCUCCUCUCUGGUUCCAGGUGCAUCACACAAGAAUCACA
rfam:Myotis lucifugus cont2.13956, whole genome shotgun sequence.